AAGAUUGAUAAGCCACCAUGUAAC
rnacentral:siRNA from 1 species